GACGAACGCUGGCGGCGCGCCUAACACAUGCAAGUCGAACGGAGCUGAGAGAAGCUUGCUUUUCUUAGCUUAGUGGCGAACGGGUGAGUAACGCGUGAGUAACCUGCCCUGGAGUGGGGGACAACAGUUGGAAACGACUGCUAAUACCGCAUAAGCCCACGGCCCGGCAUCGGGCUGCGGGAAAAGGAUUUAUUCGCUUCAGGAUGGACUCGCGUCCAAUUAGCUAGUUGGUGAGGUAACGGCCCACCAAGGCGACGAUUGGUAGCCGGACUGAGAGGUUGAACGGCCACAUUGGGACUGAGACACGGCCCAGACUCCUACGGGAGGCAGCAGUGGGGGAUAUUGCACAAUGGGGGAAACCCUGAUGCAGCGACGCCGCGUGGAGGAAGAAGGUUUUCGGAUUGUAAACUCCUGUCGUUAGGGACGAUAAUGACGGUACCUAACAAGAAAGCACCGGCUAACUACGUGCCAGCAGCCGCGGUAAAACGUAGGGUGCAAGCGUUGUCCGGAAUUACUGGGUGUAAAGGGAGCGCAGGCGGACCGGCAAGUUGGAAGUGAAAACUAUGGGCUCAACCCAUAAAUUUGCUUUCAAAACUGCUGGCCUUGAGUAGUGCAGAGGUAGGUGGAAUUCCCGGUGUAGCGGUGGAAUGCGUAGAUAUCGGGAGGAACACCAGUGGCGAAGGCGACCUACUGGGCACCAACUGACGCUGAGGCUCGAAAGCAUGGGUAGCAAACAGGAUUAGAUACCCUGGUAGUCCAUGCCGUAAACGAUGAUUACUAGGUGUUGGAGGAUUGACCCCUUCAGUGCCGCAGUUAACACAAUAAGUAAUCCACCUGGGGAGUACGCCGGCAACGGUGAAACUCAAAGGAAUUGACGGGGGCCCGCACAAGCGGAGGAACAUGUGGUUUAAUUCGAUGAUACGCGAGGAACCUUACCCGGGCUUAAAUUGCAACAGAAUAUAUUGGAAACAGUAUAGCCGUAAGGCUGUUGCGAAGGUGCUGCAUGGUUGUCGUCAGCUCGUGCCGUGAGGUGUCGGCUUAAGUGCCAUAACGAGCGCAACCCUUAUCUUUAGUUACUAACAGGUUAUGCUGAGGACUCUAGAGAGACUGCCGUCGUAAGAUGUGAGGAAGGUGGGGAUGACGUCAAAUCAGCACGGCCCUUACGUCCGGGGCUACACACGUGUUACAAUGGGGGGUACAGAAGGCGGCUACCUGGUGACAGGAUGCUAAUCCCAAAAACCUCUCUCAGUUCGGAUCGAAGUCUGCAACCCGACUUCGUGAAGCUGGAUUCGCUAGUAAUCGCGCAUCAGCCAUGGCGCGGUGAAUACGUUCCCGGGCCU
rnacentral:rRNA from 1 species